rnacentral:rRNA from 1 species
GACGAACGCUGGCGGCGUGCUUAACACAUGCAAGUCGAACGGAAAGGCCCUUUCGGGGGUGCUCGAGUGGCGAACGGGUGAGUAACACGUGGGUGAUCUGCCCUGCACUUUGGGAUAAGCCUGGGAAACUGGGUCUAAUACCGAAUACACCCUGCUGGUCGCAUGGCCUGGUGGGGGAAAGCUUUUGCGGUGUGGGAUGGGCCCGCGGCCUAUCAGCUUGUUGGUGGGGUGAUGGCCUACCAAGGCGACGACGGGUAGCCGGCCUGAGAGGGUGUCCGGCCACACUGGGACUGAGAUACGGCCCAGACUCCUACGGGAGGCAGCAGUGGGGAAUAUUGCACAAUGGGCGCAAGCCUGAUGCAGCGACGCCGCGUGAGGGAUGACGGCCUUCGGGUUGUAAACCUCUUUCAGCACAGACGAAGCGCAAGUGACGGUAUGUGCAGAAGAAGCACCGGCCAACUACGUGCCAGCCGCCGCCGUAACAC